rnacentral:tRNA from 1 species
CAAAUUAUAGCUUAAAAAGUAUUUCAUUUACAUUGAAAAGAGAUUAUAAUAAAUAAUUAAUUUGAAAUAAUAAAAUUAAA